rfam:Calothrix sp. PCC 6303, complete genome.
GGGCGGGUGGCGAAACUGGUAGACGCAGCAGACUCAAAAUCUGCCACCGAAAGGUGUGAGAGUUCGAUUCUCUCUUCGCCCA